UACUCCACAACUCAUUUUUAUCCUGAUGACAGAAUUGUCUGGAUGUCUGAAGGUACAAGGUACCAAUCAACUAUUGAGGAAUGGGCAAAUCUGAUAAAUGCCCCAGAGGAGAAAGAAGAUGACUUGGAUGUCUACUCCAAGAAGAAGAAGGAUCACAAUUCCAUGUCCCAUAUGUACAAGGAGAUCCCAGACAAAGCACUUGAGACCUUCAAGUUUGGGUCUGUCCAUUUUCUUCUAUCAGGGCUGCCUACGAUAAACUGGAUCCUUAGGCACACUCUUUUGCCCAAGUCAGGUGACCACAACAUGAUCAGAGGGCAUGCAAUUAAUUUGCUACACAUAUUUGAUGUGCCACAGAAAUUCAAGGUCAUUAGCCUCAUGGUUGAGACUAUCAAGAGGACAGCAGCAGACCAAAAGAGAAGUCGUGGGUAUGCCCCACAAAUCCAGGAGCUGAUCAACUCAAAGAUGGGCACAGGAAAAUAUCUGUUGGAUAAGGAACAUUUUGUUCUCUAUCCAGACUUUGAGGACAAUCAAGUUGUGAUGAAUGGGAAUGAACCAUCCUCAGUGCAAGCUCAAGAGAAGAAGAAGAAGGCU
rnacentral:rRNA from 1 species